CCUACGGGAGGCAGCAGUGAGGAAUAUUGGUCAAUGGGCGCAAGCCUGAACCAGCCAAGUCGCGUGAGGGAUGAAGGCUCUAUGGAUCGUAAACCUCUUUUAUAAGGGAAUAAAGUGCGGGACGUGUCCCGCGUAUUAUGUAUCUUAUGAAUAAGGAUCGGCUAACUCCGUGCCAGCAGCCGCGGGAUUACGGAGGAUGCGCGCGUUAUCCGGAUUUAUUGGGUUUAAAGGGUGCGUAGGCGGCCUUUUAAGUCAGUGGUGAAAGUCUGGGGCUCAACCGUGGAAUUGCCGUUGAAACUGGGGGGCUUGAGUGUGUAUGGGGAAGGCGGAAUGCGUGGUGUAGCGGUGAAAUGCUUAGAUAUCACGCAGAACCCCGAUUGCGAAGGCA
rnacentral:rRNA from 1 species